CAAAAACAGAAAAUUGUUUAUAAGCUAUUCGAAUAAAUUUUGAUGUUUUUAUAUUUUUAUACUCUCAUUUCGGCAGAUUUUUGGAGCAAUCACAAUUUCCUUCCUCUGAGAUAGGAUAAAUUUUAAAGUUCUGGCCGACUUAACAAUGAACACAUGAUAAACACAAACAAAUCAGAUUCGAAGUUACGAGUGUACUUUGUGGUCUUUGAAGUGGUAUCUACUUUCAGCAAAUUCAUGGAGCAAUAUCUUUUAAUGUUUUGGCUAUCUAAACAAUGAACACAAUCCAAUUUGAAAAUUAUCGUUAGGCUUUUUUCGUGCUUGAAUCUCAGCUUCUGUUUUUUUUCUCAGAUCACUCAAUGGCUAAAGAUAGUUCACAAAAAAUUGUGAGGGUAUUUCGAUUUAAAAUUAGCUACGGCUGGUAAGAGAUGACUGAGUUGGGCUGCAUUUACCAAAGUCAAGAACAAAUCCAUUGUGAUUCUCAUGCGGAGGUAGUCAGAGAUAGUGCUCAAGAAUGCACAACUUAUCUGCCAAAAUCAAGAAAGAAUGCGCUGUGAUUCUCGUGCUGAGGUAGUCGGAGAUAGGGCUCAAGAAUGCACAAGUUUUGUUAUAACUAAAAAUGAAAUUCAAAUUUAUAAUUAAAAUUGAUUUGAUAUUAAUAUCUUUUUGAUUAUUAAUAUUUUUUAAAAUGUUAUAUAUUUGAUUGAUUAAUUUAAAUAAUCAAAUAUGUCAUAUUAAUUAAUUAAAUAGUUCUACUAUGACUUGUCAACAAUAGAUAAAAAUAGAAAUUCUAUUUAAGUGAAAUAAUAAUAAUAAUUUCUUUCAUUUAUGACUUAUCAACAAUAGAUAAAAGGGCAAUUCUCUCAAAUAGACUUUUUUUUUAAUUUGUCACAAUAGACCCCAAAAACUAAAAUGACAAAAAUAGAAUUUUUUAUUUUAAAAUUUUAAUUUUUUUUAAUUUUUAAAAUUUGAAAUCUUAUCCCCAAAACCCCACUC
rnacentral:lncRNA from 1 species